rnacentral:lncRNA from 1 species
GGCGCCCAGGCCGCCGGCGCCCAAGCCGGCCGCGCCCAGGCCGGCCGCGUCCAGGCCGGCGGCGCCCAGGCCGGCCGCGCCCAGGCGGGCGGCGCCCAGGCCGCCGGCGCCCAGGCGGGCCGCGCCCAGGACAGGGUCGCCGCCGGCAUCCUCCAAGUCCUCCACGGCAACGGUUUCCGCACCGUCGGCCAUGGGCGGCGACGGGUGGAACGGCCGCUCGACGCCGGCGACGGAAGCUGUACGGGCGGUAGGAGCCACGGGAAGAACAGGAGUCGCGGGAAGAACAGGAGUCGCGGGAAGAACAGGAGCCACGGUUGUUUUUUUUUUCUUUCUCAACGGUACUGUAAAGGGUGGCAUUGGUGGGUAAUUUCUACCCAACUCCAAGAGGGGUUAUAAAAGUUGUUUUUUGAGAGCACCCUUUGAGGAGCUCCAGGAAAAUCUUGGAGUUGCCCCCCAGAUCCACAUUUUUUUUGGAGUUGGUAUAGUUGGAGCUGGAGGCGUUUGGCAAGAUGAAGCUGGAGUGGAGCUAUUUUUUUUGGAGCGGAGCAGUCCCAAACAGGCC